CUGAUGCGAAGUCUGACGGAGCACGCCGCCUUGAGUGAUGAAGGUUUUCGGAUCGUAAAGCUCUGUUGUUAGGGAAGAACAAGUACCGUUCGAAUAGGGCGGUACCUUCGACGGUACCUAACCAGAAAGCCACGGCUAACUACGUGCCAGAAGCCGC
rnacentral:rRNA from 1 species